UUCGCUGGUGUUUCCGAGCUCACAGCGCAGUCGACAGACAGUAGGCGAACCGGAUGCUAAUUUGGUUCAAUUCCUUGCAGAGUGGUUUUAUGCUUCACAUGUAUCUCAGUGGAGGCGCCUCUGUCCUAGAAACUUUAUGGAUUCCGCUGCAACCCUGUAAUUUUGAAAUACGCUCUGUAUUUGGCGUUUAAAGCCAUUUCACUUGCGCACGGGAUCUAGACAAUUAACUGGAAAAAAAUGAUUCCGCGAACGGGUGCGGGCUAUGGUGUGGAGGUCUGAGGCAUGGCCUGUUUCUGGGCCCCCUGGGUGAACAACACCCAGUAGCCCUGAGAUGAUGAGUGGCCCUCCGCCCUGGCACUCCUCUAAGUGAUGAAGACCCCUGCCAUCCUCCUCCUCGCCCUGUCUGUCCUGUGCAGAACUGUGCUUGUGUCAACGAAGUCGGUGAAGCACACAGUGGAGGAAUGGAACAAAUACAGGAGCGAGUGCCUGCUGAGAAUGAGCACGGACCCCACACCCCCAGGCUUAUUCUGCAGCCACAUGUUUGACAUGUACGCCUGCUGGCCGGAGGGCAUCCCCAACACCACCGUUAAAGUGCCCUGCCCGUGGUACCUCCCCUGGUACAACCAAGUUCGUAAUGGAUAUGUGUUGCGGGAGUGUGGGCCUGAUGGCCAGUGGGCCGUUAACAACACCAGUAGCACCUGGAGGGACCACUCCCAGUGCAACGCAGACAAUAACCAGCAGGUGGCACAGGAGAACCAGAUAGUGAUCUUGGCCUACUUCCGAGUGAUGUACACUGUGGGCUACUCUCUGUCCCUGGCCAGCCUUUCCCUGGCCCUUGUCAUACUGCUCAUCUUCAGGUAAUUAAGGUGCACCAGGAACUAUAUCCACACCAAUCUGUUUGCGUCCUUCAUCCUGCGAGCCAUAUCCAUCCUCACCAGAGAUGCUGUUCUCACCAGGGACACCCCCGAGUUCAGAGACAACAGAGACGUGUCCAAUGUCCUCAGUGAUCAGGCUCUCUCUGGCUGCCGUGUGGCCCAGGUGCUGAUGCAGUACUGUGUGGGGGCUAACUACUACUGGCUGCUGGUGGAAGGACUGUACCUUCACAACCUGCUGGUGCUCAUGGUCUUCUCUGAGAACAGCUACUUCUGUGGAUACCUCUUCAUCGGCUGGGGAACCCCAGUGUUAUUUGUGGUCCCCUGGAUUAUAGUUCGGUACCUGUAUGAAAACACACGGUGCUGGGAGAUCAACGAGAACAUGGCACACUGGUGGAUCAUCCGCACACCCAUCCUCCUGGCCAUUCUGGUCAACUUUUUCAUAUUUAUUCGGAUCAUACAGAUCCUCGUCUCCAAAUUAAAGGCACGCCAAAUGAGGUACACAGAUUAUAAAUUCAGGUUGGCAAAGUCCACUCUGACCCUCAUCCCUCUCCUGGGCAUCCAUGAGGUUGUCUUUGCCGUGAUGUCAGAGGAACAGACAGAGGGCAUCCUCCGAAAUAUCAACCUCUUCUUUGAACUUUUCUUCAAUUCUUUCCAGGGUCUCCUGGUUGCCAUCCUGUACUGCUUCGUCAAUAAAGAGGUGCAGUCAGAGAUAAAGAAGAAGUGGCAGCGAUGGAAGCUGGGCAUGAACGUCCUGGACGACCUUCGCAACACCGGCAGCAACACGCUACAGGGGGGCACCUGCGGCGGGCAGUGCCACCACGACACGCCCUGCCAGCCUGACUGUCCACAGGAGGAUACCCACAACCUCUCCUCAGACGCCUCCGCCUCAGGGCCGCAUGCCCACCCACGCCCACACCACCACCCAGGGGCCAAGAAGGGCAAGGCCUACUGCUACAUUUCCGCCCGCAAGCAGGUGCUGAACGGCCUUGAUGGAGCUCCGCUGGGCAACGGGGGAGGAGAAGGAGUCAUCAAAUACUCUGAGAGCUACUGCUGAGUGGCCCUGUUGGGCUCUAAUGAGGGCUAACGAGUAGCUGGCUACCUUUGUCAUUUCUAGUGGAAGGAAUCCGAACCAGACAAUCACCUGCUUCCAAUUCAAUUGUGUACUCCCAGAUCUGUGUGGCCUACUUGGUGUUUCGUGGAACCCAUGUCUUAAUAAUUUUGUGAACAUGAUCCGGGAAUCUUUGGAUGAUUGCCAGAAUGCCUUUUCUGCCCUGGCCAAUCAGGCUAUGUGUUGUGACUCCCAUAGGCUUCCAGUGGGAGAUAAGAUGACCCAUCCCAAGUGCAAUAUUGCCGCAAUCGACCCAGAUGUUGAGGAAAGCUAAUACUUAAAUUAGGAAAUGAACACCGUCCAACCUUUAUCUGCUGAGAUUUGACUGUUUUGGGGGGGUUUGCCUCUUAGUUCUCUACCUCUCGCUCUACUUGUGGACAAAAUGGAAAGGUUACGUACCAACCGUGGACCGUCUUUUCAUGUGCAAUGGAUAUUAUAACAAAAGUUUGUUUUAUAUGUUGGUAUUGGAAAAAGUCUCUGUGAGGGACUUAGAGAAGGCAAGAGGUGAGCAAACCAAUAUUGUCUUCCCCAGUGAGUUAGACACACACACACACACACACACACACACACACACACACACACACACACACACACACACACACACACACACACACACACACACACACACACACACACACACACACACACACACACACACACACACACACACACACACACACACACACUAUGGUUUCCAUAGGCAACUCUGUGUUUUGAAUUCCUCUCACUCAACUGUUGAAAACCUGUCAUGCCACUUGCUCUCUAGUCAUACAUUUAUGGCAACCUUAUAGUCAUAGUUAUGGUAGCCUGUUACUCACCACAAAUUGUUUUUUUCUUGUAGCUUUUCCAGACUAACCACAACCACUUACCACCCAGCUGAAGGCUUUACAUCCCGCUGAGCACAGGUCGUAACAUGCCAAGAUGGCAUCUCUCCUCUGCUUCUGGGGAUUAAGGUCCCAGCACCCCUGCUGCCAUGCAGCUGAAAUCAAAAUGGGGCAAUAGGAAAUGACUCUCUACACGAUAGACCACAGCCACAAAAUACACAUUUAGUAUUCUGCUGCGUGCGUGUCGAUUGUAUGCUGUAGGUCUACAUGUCUGACGUCAUGUUUGCAAAGCUAGGAUCCAUUCUGUUCAUCCUCUGUGAAGAUGUCUGGUACGUUACAUACAUCUGUGUAAGGUUGCCAAAAACUCCAUGCCGGAAUCUGUGAGAAACAAAAUGUUUUGCACUGAUCUCACCCUCAGUGAAGUUUUGAAAUACCAAUUACCCAAUAUGAGUUUAGCUAAAGGUGCUUUAUUUUAACCCAGCUAACAAUCCCCCAGUCCUAUUUAAAGACGGGUUUCAAUCUAAAACUAGUACAGCACAACCCUGACUUCUCCAGAUAUAGCUUGACUAUUCGGUGUGUAUGGAUCUGUCUGAGCGUCCAGAGCCCUCAAUUCAUUUUACUGUUUGUAAUUAGUCUCUUCUUGAGGGUCACAUUGCACCUAAUGGCUCCACACCGGUUGAACAGGGGUUCUGUAUAAAUGUAGGCAAUUAAACCAGACAAUUUCCAACUUCCCUUUUGAAAUGGCUCCUCUAACCCGCAUACACAGAGGCCUCAUCUUCACACAUGCCAAUGGAGUAAUGAGGUAGCCUUGUUUUUCUGUCUUCCCAUUCACUCCAAAUGGGGCUAACCCAUUACCCAAACAUGUCCACCAUCUCUGUGUCAUCAAAAUGUAGCAUGUCAUACUAAUGAACAUGCAUUUUAUCACCAGGAGUAUUCCUACUAGGGUCAUUACUGAUGGUUGACAGAGGGGCCUCAACGCCUCUGGUGGCAUAGAUCAUUACCCUUGUGUGUGUGUGUGUGUGUGUGUGUGUGUGUGUGUGUGUGUGUGUGUGUGUGUGUGUGUGUGUGUGUGUGUGUGUGUGUGUGUGUGUGUGUGUGUGUGUGUGUGUGUGUGUGUGUGUGUGUGUGUGUGUGUGUGUGUGUGUGUGUGUGUGUGUUAUUAUCUUAAUUUCCAAAGUGGCUUGGCUGAUCCUCAUAACUGAAAUAGCAUUCACAAACUGAGCAUUGCACUUCACAAAUAUCUUCUAGUAUAAUGUACCUUUGGCAACAUGCACGCGUAGCCUUUGGAAUUUCUUUGGCAAACAUUACAAAAUACUGUGUUGUUUGUAAAACAGCUUAUGUCAGACAAAAAAAACGACCAGAUGUAGCAUAUAGUUAGUUAGCAUUGCUAGUAUGUGUUACAGUGGUGCCGUGACCUGGAUCUAGAGAGUGGACCCAGUAAACCGAGGUCAAAGGGAGGUAGAUUCAGUGGAUGCUUAUGUUAGAACCUUGCAGUGGGUUAGGACUGUACUGUCACCCUGGACCCAAAAUACAUUGGGUCCAUUGUGGCAGAGGUGGAACAUGUUACAUAAACGGACAUGACCUUCUGACGUGACUCCACAUGUUCUAUAUACCCGUCAACGGGUAAACUUGGCGCACUGACACUCAAAUGAUAUUUAACUCUGUGUGAGUAGUUUAUCAUCACAGGGAGAUUACUGUACAAAGAGCAGCACUAAAUCUCACAUAUAAGACUAUGUGACAUGAAUGGACACUAUUUUUACUCACUUUUUAUUUACAUGUUUGUUAUUUAAAUUAAAUUAUUCUUAAUCUGA